UACAGGGGGGGCAAGCGUUGUUCGGAAUUACUGGGCGUAAAGAGCUCGUAGGCGGCUUGUCACGUCGGGUGUGAAAGCCCGGGGCUUAACCCCGGGUCUGCACUCGAUACGGGCUGGCUAGAGUGUGGUAGGGGAGAUCGGAAUUCCUGGUGUAGCGGUGAAAUGCGCAGAUAUCAGGAGGAACACCGGUGGCGAAGGCGGAUCUCUGGGCCAUUACUGACGCUGAGGAGCGAAAGCGUGGGGAGCGAACAGG
rnacentral:rRNA from 1 species